rnacentral:ncRNA from 1 species
UGAAAAAGGCAAAACGCAUGAAAGUGCGUGACGCAAAGCAACCAGCCUAAGGGUUUCAACCUAAGGUAGUGGAGUUACCAC